UUUUUAAAAAAAGAUUUUAUUUAUUUUUUUGACAAGGAGAGACAUAGUGAAAGAGGGAACGCAAAUAGGGGGAGUGGCUGUGGGAGAAGCAGACUCUCCGCUGAGCAGGGA